UACAGAGGGUGCGAGCGUUAAUCGGAAUUACUGGGCGUAAAGCGUGCGUAGACGGCUAUCUAAGUCGGGUGUGAAAGCCCCGGGCUCAACCUGGGAAUGGCCGUUGAAACUGGCGAACUGGAGUGUGGCAGAGGGGGGUGGAAUUCCGCGUGUAGCAGUGAAAUGCGUAGAGAUGCGGAGGAACACCGAUGGCGAAGGCAGCCCCCUGGGCUAACACUGACGCUCAGGCACGAAAGCGUGGGGAGCAAACAGG
rnacentral:rRNA from 1 species